rnacentral:rRNA from 1 species
UACGAAGGGGGCUAGCGUUGUUCGGAAUUACUGGGCGUAAAGCGCACGUAGGCGGACUACUAAGUCAGGGGUGAAAUCCCGGGGCUCAACCCCGGAACUGCCUUUGAUACUGAUAGUCUCGAGUCCGGAAGAGGUGAGUGGAAUUCCGAGUGUAGAAGUGAAAUUCGUAGAUAUUCGGAGGAACACCAGUGGCGAAGGCGGCGACCUGGGUAGAUACUGACGCUGAGGUGCGAAAGCGUGGGGAGCAAACAGG